ACUCACCUUCCUUCCACACCUAUAAAUCCACCCAAACACUCUCUCAAGAACACGCACAACAACUUCUCCCCUCUAAUCUCUCUUGCUCAAUCCCCCUCCUUCACCAUGUCGACCUGCGACAACUGUGACUGCACCGAUAAGUCCCAGUGUGUGAAAAAGAGGAAUAACUACACAAUUGAUAUCAUCGAGACUGAGAAGAGCUACUUGGACGAGGUUGUGCACGGUGGUGUGGUAGCUGCUGAGGCUGAGCACGGCGGGCAGUGCAAGUGCGGCACGGCCUGCGCUUGUGUUGACUGCCAAUGCGGCAAAUGAUCAAACACCUUCAGGGCUGCUGCUUGUGCUUGAAAUAAAUAAUUAGAGUUGAGGUUUAUGAACUUCAGCGGUGUGUUACUUGUGUGCUAAUUAAGGUGUGAUUAUGAUUAUGAUCUGCAUAAUCUACCUCUGUAUUAGCUAAACCCUGUUAUCCAUCUGAAAUAUAUAGUUUGUUUUUAUA